rnacentral:rRNA from 1 species
GCGCGAAAACUUUACAAUGCUGGCAACAGCGAUAAGGGAACCUCGAGUGCCAGGUUACAAAUCUGGCUGUCGAGAUGCCUAAAAAGCAUUUCAUAGCAAGGGCCGGGCAAGACCGGUGCCAGCCGCCGCGGUAACACCGGCGGCUCGAGUGGUAACCGUUAUUAUUGGGUCUAAAGGGUCUGUAGCCGGCCGGAUAAGUCUCUUGAGAAAUCUGGCAGCUUAACUGUCAGGCUUUCAGGAGAUACUGUCUGGCUCGAGGCCGGGAGAGGUGAGAGGUACUUCAGGGGUAGGGGUGAAAUCUUGUAAUCCUUGAAGGACCACCAGUGGCGAAGGCGUCUCACCAGAACGGACCUGACGGCAAGGGACGAAAGCUGGGGGCACGAACCG